GAGGGAGUAUUAGUCCGUGCAUCUUCAACUACUAGUUGCAAUAAAAUCCUCAAUUUCUAAAAUCUAGUUUCUUGUUAUCUUGUACACUGAGAACGGCGUCGUUCGGGAAUUUUGUUUUUUCGCUUUAAACUAUAAACCCUAAGCCGUGAUUUCUGAAAUACAGAUUUACACGCAUAUACAUACUCGCAGCGCUGUGUGCGUAUACCGGUCUGCGAAAGAUGGGGGCGCAGGUUGAAGAAGACGGAGACGGAUUGAAGAAACUAGAGUAUCUCUCUCUUGUUUCGAAGGUGUGCUCGGAGCUGGAGACGCAUAUAGGCGUCGGAGACAAGGUUCUGGCGGAGUUCAUCACGGAUAUGGGCCGGAACUGCGAAACCGUGGAGGAGUUCGAUGAAAAGCUGAAGGAGAGCGGCGCCGAGAUGCCGGAUUACUUCGUUCGGACGCUGCUCACGAUAAUCCACGCAAUUCUUCCUCCGAAGCCCAAGUCUGAGUCCGAGAAGGAUUCAAAGAGGACCGAUAAAGGUGAAAAGUUUUCUGCUUUGAAAAUCAAGGAUGAUAGGGACAGGAUUAAGGAGUUGGAGAGGGAGAUUGAGGUCGAAGCAAAGAAGAACCGGGGAAAAGAUGAGGAAGAAGAUAGGCGGGACAGAGAUGAUAGACGAGAUAGGAGAAGAGAGAGGGAUGGAGAUGAUAGAAGAGAUAGGGAUAGAGACAGUAGAAGAGAUAGGAAUAGAGAUGAUAGACGAGAAAGGGAUAGGGGUGAUAGAAGAGAAAGGGGCAAUGAUGCUGAAUAUCGAAGUCAUGACAGGGACAGGGAUAAUAGAUAUGAAAGGAGGAAAAGAAGAGAUUCUGAUGAAGAUAGGGAUGAUGAUAGAAAGAAUGCGAUGUAUAGAUCGGAGGAACCUGAAUUGUAUAGAGUGUACAAGGGGAGAGUCUCCAGGGUAAUGGACACAGGUUGUUUUGUUCAGCUGGAUGAGUGCAGAGGGAAGGAAGGAUUAGUUCAUGUUUCACAGAUGGCAACUCGGAGGGUUUCAAAUGCAAAAGAUUUGGUGAAGAGGGAUCAGGAGGUAUACGUGAAGGUAAUUUCAGUGAGUGGGCAGAAAUUGAGUUUGUCCAUGAGGGAUGUUGAUCAGAAUACUGGAAAGGAUUUGCUACCACUGAAGAAGAGCUUAGAUGAUGAUGAUUUGAGGGAAAAUCCAUCUGGGGGAAAUAUGGAGGGGACUAGGACGAGAAUUGGGCUUUCAGGGAUUCGGAUCACAGAGGAUGAUGUUGUUGUCCCAUCAAGAAGGCCAUUGAAGAGAAUGAGUUCGCCAGAGAGGUGGGAGGCAAAACAACUCAUGGCUUCAGGUGUCUUAAGUGUUAAGGAGUGUCCUAUGUUUGAUGAAGAAGGGGAUGGACUGUUGUAUCAGGAAGAAGGUGCUGAAGAGGAGCUUGAGAUUGAGUUGAAUGAAGAUGAACCACCUUUCUUGCAAGGCCAGAGUCGGUACUCAGUUGAUAUGUCUCCUGUGAAAAUUUUUAAAAACCCUGAGGGUUCCUUGAGUCGAGCAGCUGCACUCCAAUCUGCUUUGAUAAAGGAGAGGAGAGAAGUAAGGGAGCAACAACAAAGAACAAUGCUUGAUUCCAUCCCUAAAGAUCUAAAUAGGCCAUGGGAGGAUCCAAUGCCUGAGACAGGUGAGAGGCAUCUGGCCCAAGAGCUGAGGGGUGUUGGUUUGUCAGCCUAUGAUAUGCCAGAGUGGAAGAAAGAUGCUUAUGGUAAAGCACUUACUUUUGGACAGAGGUCAAAGCUUUCCAUUCAGGAGCAGAGGCAGAGUCUACCCAUUUACAAGCUGAAGAAGGAAUUGGUUCAAGCUGUACAUGAUAACCAGGUCUUGGUUGUCAUUGGAGAGACAGGUUCAGGCAAGACAACACAGGUGACACAGUAUCUAGCUGAGGCAGGAUAUACUACAAGAGGUAAAAUUGGAUGUACUCAACCACGUAGAGUGGCCGCAAUGUCAGUGGCAAAGAGGGUUGCCGAGGAGUUUGGUUGCCGGUUAGGGGAAGAAGUUGGUUACGCCAUUCGUUUUGAGGAUUGUACUGGGCCAGAGACUGUGAUAAAGUAUAUGACAGAUGGUAUGCUGUUGAGGGAGAUACUGGUGGACGAGAGUUUGUCUCAGUAUUCUGUUAUAAUGCUUGAUGAAGCUCAUGAGAGAACCAUUCAUACUGAUGUUCUCUUUGGUCUCUUGAAGCAAUUAGUUAAGAGAAGACCAGACCUUCGGUUGAUCGUCACAUCUGCAACUUUAGAUGCAGAGAAGUUUUCUGGAUACUUUUUCAACUGUAACAUCUUUACUAUCCCAGGGAGAACCUUUCCAGUGGAGAUACUUUACACCAAGCAGCCAGAGAGUGACUAUCUUGAUGCAGCUUUGAUAACAGUCUUACAGAUUCACUUAACAGAACCUGAAGGUGAUAUCCUUCUUUUCUUGACUGGUCAGGAAGAGAUUGAUUAUGCUUGCCAGUGUCUUUAUGAGAGGAUGAAAGGUCUGGGUAAGAAUGUUCCUGAAUUGAUAAUCUUACCUGUUUAUAGUGCCCUGCCUAGUGAAAUGCAGUCUAGAAUCUUUGAGCCUGCCCCUCCAGGGAAGAGAAAAGUAGUUGUUGCUUAUGUUAUAGAUCCAGGUUUUGCUAAGCAAAAUGUAUAUAAUCCAAAACAGGGGCUUGAUUCAUUGGUCAUAACGCCUAUAUCACAAGCCUCAGCGAAGCAAAGAGCUGGGCGUGCUGGACGAACGGGACCAGGAAAGUGUUAUCGUCUUUAUACAGAGAGUGCGUUUCACAAUGAAAUGUCUCCUACAUCAAUCCCUGAAAUUCAGCGUAUUAACCUUGGGAUGACAGUGCUUAAUAUGAAAGCUAUGGGUAUUAAUGAUCUUUUGUCCUUUGAUUUCAUGGAUCCUCCUUCUCCUCAAGCACUAAUAUCCGCCAUGGAGCAGCUGUUCACUCUAGGAGCUCUUGAUGAAGAGGGGCUCUUGACAAAGUUGGGUAGGAAAAUGGCUGAAUUUCCUCUAGAACCUCCAUUGUCCAAAAUGCUCCUCGCCAGUGUAGACCUUGGAUGCAGUGAUGAGAUUUUGACCAUCAUUGCAAUGAUUCAGACGGGUAAUAUUUUUUACCGACCUCGGGAGAAACAAGCACAAGCUGAUCAGAAAAGGGCAAAAUUCUUUCAGCCAGAGGGUGAUCAUCUCACCCUGCUUGCAGUUUAUGAAGCAUGGAAAGCCAAAAAUUUUUCUGGACCCUGGUGCUUUGAAAACUUUGUACAAUCGCGGUCUUUGAGGCGGGCUCAGGAUGUCAGAAAACAGCUCCUUUCCAUCAUGGACAAGUACAAACUGGAUGUUGUGUGUGCUGGAAAAAAUUUUACGAAGAUAAGGAAGGCCAUAGCUGCAGGUUUCUUUUUCCAUGCUGCUAGGAAGGAUCCACAAGAAGGGUAUAGAACCCUGGUUGAGAACCAGCCAGUAUAUAUACAUCCUAGUAGUGCUCUAUUCCAAAGGCAGCCAGAUUGGGUUAUUUAUCAUGAGCUUGUGAUGACAACAAAGGAAUAUAUGCGUGAGGUCACAGUGAUUGAUCCCAAGUGGCUUGUAGAGCUGGCACCGCGGUUUUUCAAAGUGGCUGACCCAACUAAAUUAAGCAAACGCAAGAGACAGGAGCGCAUUGAGCCUCUUUAUGACAGAUAUCACGAGCCUAAUUCUUGGCGGUUGAGUAAAAGGCGUGCUUGAUAUGUUCUUCAACAAUGCACUUACUAUUUUGGAGGAUUUUACCAUGUGUUCACACAGUGCUCAAUGUAUCUUGCCAUUAUAAGGGAGGCAUUGAGACAUGGGAACAAUUCAAAAGGAUGUAUUCCUUUAUGCAAAUGGGAGCUACUAAUGUUAAGGUCUUAUUUGUAAGGGGAGUUGAAUUUCAGAUUAACCUUGAGUUCUUCUGCCAUCCUUUCAUUGCAUGUAUUAUGCACACCACGUUUGAUGGCAAUCUUUGCAAUAGCGUUUCUUUCCCAUAGCUUCACCAUUGCAGCAGCCAGACCUUGCAGCUCUCGGUUUCUUCCUGAUGGAUUAUGCAAAAUAAAAUGUGUUAACAAGCUAAAAGGAGGAUAAUUCAUGCCCUUAAUGUUUGUUUCUGAGGUAAAGGGAAAAAAAUUCUAGGCAUACCAAGCGCAAAAUGUGGGGGCAUCCCUCGCGCUGUCCUGCGAAAGUAUGUCAUUUCUCUGUCUCUUAAAUUCUGUCUAACAUCAUAAGGGAGACGUCUGAAAGGAGGUUUAUAUCCAGGAAUAACAGCAGGCAAUAAAUCUGCAUCCACGGGAAGAGGAUAACGACCAUUCCAAUCUUCAAAACGCGGGCCGAGCUCAUCCAAAAGAAGAUUGAGCUCACUUAAAUCCAUCUUUUCUUCUUCUGUUAGACCAUUCGAAUAAGACUUUGAUGUUCCAUCUACUCCAUUCAAAUAUUUAAUUCCACUAUUAUCCACCAAAUCUCGAGACGAUUCUAAUGUAUCCAAA